rnacentral:misc_RNA from 1 species
UGUGGGAGCUGGCUUGCCUGCGAUGCGGGCACCUCGGUGCUCCGAGGUGAUGCUAUCGCAGGCAAGCCAGCUCCCACA